CACCGGCGGCUCGAGUGGUGGCCACUUUUAUUGGGUCUAAAGCGUCCGUAGCCGGCUUGGCAAGUCCCCUGGGAAAUCUGGCGGCUUAACCGUCAGGCGUCCAGAGGAAACUGCCAGGCUUGGGACCGGGAGAGGUGAGAGGUACCUCAGGGGUAGGGGUGAAAUCUUGUGAUCCCUGAGGGACCACCAGUGGCGAAGGCGUCUCACUAGAACGGGUCCGACGGUCAGGGACGAAAGCUGGGGGCACGAACCGG
rnacentral:rRNA from 1 species